CAAAGGUUUGGUCCUGGCCUUAUUAUUAGUUAUUAGCAAGCUUAUACAUGCAAGUAUCUGCUAACCAGUGAAGACGCCCUUAUAUCCGCUUAAUCAUUAAUCGACCCUUAAGGAGCCGGUAUCAAGCUCACACAAGUAGCUCAAAACACCUUGCUCAGCCACACCCCCACGGGAUACAGCAGUAAUAAAAAUUAAGCAAUAAACGAAAGUUUGACUAAGCUAUGCUAACAAAGAGUUGGUCAAUCUCGUGCCAGCCACCGCGGUUAUACGAUUAACUCAAAUUAAUAAGAACCGGCGUAGAGCGUGGUUAAAACGAAACAAACAAUAAAGUUAAACUGACUCUCAGCUGUAAAAAGCCAAAGACUUAUUGAAAAUCAAUAACUAAAGUUACUUUACCAAAAAUGAAUCCACGAUAGCUAAGAUACAAACUGGGAUUAGAUACCCCACUAUGCUUAGCCCUAAACCUCGAUAAUUAGUAACAAAAUUAUCCGCCAGAGAACUACAAGCUAUAGCUUAAAACUCAAAGGACUUGGCGGUGCUUUAUACCCGCCUAGAGGAGCCUGUUAUGUAAUCGAUAAACCCCGAUAAACCACACCAUCACUUGCUAAAUCAGUCUAUAUACCGCCAUCUUCAGCAAACCCUUAAAAGGAAAAGUAGUAAGCCUAAUCGUACUCACAAAAACGUUAGGUCAAGGUGUAACCUAUGUGAUGGGAUCUAAUGGGCUACAUUUUCUCAAAAAGAAUAUUUACGAACUUCUAAAUGAAACAGUAGAAUAAAGGUGGAUUUAGCAGUAAAUUAAGAAUAGAGAGCCUAAUUGAAACUGGCCAUGAAGCACGCACACACCGCCCGUCACCCUCCUCAAGUACCUAUAUACUAGAACCAUAUUCAUAUAUGCAAAGUAUUAGAGGAGACAAGUCGUAACAAGGUAAGCAUACUGGAAAGUGUGCUUGGAAAACC
rnacentral:ncRNA from 1 species